CUUAUGCCAGAUUCCCUUCUAC
rnacentral:miRNA from 14 species